CUCCAAGAGAAUGAACACAUUUAUAUGGCCACUAGCUAUGUAUUUGUAAUUAUCUCUCCAUACACUUACCAACGCUGUGAUAACUUGUUUUUUUACAGAGAUUAAGUUUUUCAUUGACAGGAUUUAGUUCAUCCUCUAUUAAUUACAUUUUUUUCCCUGUAGGAAUGACUUGAUUUGACAAACAUUUAGUCUCGUAAAACUUUAUUGUGUGUGAAGUAUAAUAUUAGAUGUUUGGAGAAGUCAGAAUUCAUUAGAUACAGUCUCUGCUUCUGACCAGAUGCUAACACAAUUGACGGAGGCAGACACAUCCUGGCCUCAGAUUACCUUUCCCACCUUAUCUAUUUGUAAUAACUUUUGUGAGCACUGUGGGACUGAAAAUGAGCAAGUUUCAUGAAUAUUUUAAGUGAGUACUAGAAGUUUCAUGAAUAUGUUAAGUAGGUGUGAGAAUUUCCAUGAAUAUAUUAAGUAGGAGAAUGAUUAGCAUGGAUAGUGCAGCCAUAGCUCACUAACCUCUAUCUCCCACAUGCUCAUUUGCUACCUUUGCAUUUUUUUCACUGUUAUCAGCUAGUACAAGGAGAUAUGGUUGAGGAUUUAUGACUUACCAUGUCUCUUUCAUGCCUCUUACAGGUUAGCUGACUCACUAUCCCAGGUGUCUAUAACUAGAUGAAACCACUUCUGCAUCACUGUGAAAAAGAGCUCCCCUCUGGAAAACAAUGAUGCUUUAAUGAGCAGCCGUAUGCCAAAAUCAGGACAACAAGGUUACUGACAAGCAAGUCUGCAUUUAAAAUACAUCAGCUACUGGGACGCUAGUCAUGGUGCCAAUUAAGUCAGCUGGAGAUGAAUACUGCUUUAAAUUCCAGAUCAGUACACAAAAAGAAUGUUAUUUUCUUAUGGGAGUUCUACAGAUCCAGCCAUGUAAAUAUCCAUUCAGGAUGGCUGCUUGUGGUAGCCCAGGGCCAAGGUGUAUCCUACAUUGUAGACUCACCAGGAACUCUGUGAUAAAGACAACCCAGGGAUGCAGCUCUGUGGUCUCAGGAAUCUACAAAGGCAAGAAACCUAAGGCUAUGUGCUAACAUAUGCAGAGGUCAUCCUAGAAGGCUUGAGAAGAUCAUGGAUUAGCCUCUAUUUCCCUGACUAAAUACCAUGCAUACUUUUUGCUUCCCCUUUCCAAUGUAUGCAAAACAUAAAGAAAAAAAAUUCUUUUUAGAAACAAUUUAACCAUGUCUGGACAGACUUAUUUUUUUUUUUUUUCUGAUUUCUUGUGGAAUUGUAUUUGAAAGCUAUUUUAAAAUUGCUUGAGGUCAUAGUCUUCUUGUCUUCUUGAUUGCAUUUCAUGUCAGGUAAGUUCUAGGACAACUGAUAUUGCAGAAGCUUAUACUUGGGAAAGAAUUCAGUAAGAUUCAAUAAGCUUAAUUCUACAAUUUGUUUAAAUAGCCCAUAUCCAAGCAUUUCCCCAGUAGCUUCUAAAAAUUUUACCAAAAUAUGUGUGUUCUUCUGCACCGGUGAACUUUUAUUCCUUGGUUCAGUAGUGCCCAAGAAAACUUCACGAAAUGUGGCUAAGCUGCCCUAGAAACUUCUGGACAGACCUACUAUCAUGUGAAUCCCUCUUUCUUUUUCUCUGAGGGUACCUUUUGGCCUGGAGGAAAUAAAACAUAAAAUUAAAUAGUUGAAACA
rnacentral:lncRNA from 1 species